CACACUGAGUAGUAUCUGCAUUUUAUAGUUUAUUCCUGUUGGGUAUUCAAAGGACAAUUGCAAUGGAAAUUCAGUAUCUGCUGUCAUUGGUUUUCUUAGCUUUGUGCUUGUUAAACCUUUUAUUACUACAGUAUAAACA